UUGGUUCUAGUUCAGAAAGUCACACUCCUGACAAUAGUUCGCGUCACACUCCGGACAAUCUACACGUUGCACAAUAUAACAAAUCAAUCACCGAAACUCAAAUAAAGCCAAAAUAAAGCCAACAACAAGAAAAUCAUUUUAAAACUCAAAAAGAGCAGCAACAAAUUGCACAGAUCAUCAACAUAGCACUACGAUCACAAUGCAAAAAGAAUCACUCGAUUCCGAUACACGGUUUAAAAGAUACGGCCUCUGGAAGAUUUGAUUCGAAUUCAAAUGAAUUCAAAUUUGAAUUGUGCAAACAUGUGCAAAAUUGGUACUGAGCUAAAGAGCUGAUUUUUGUGAGUGCAUAGGAAAAAGAAUCACCUAAAUUGGAUAUAUAUGCUAUAAGAUAUAACUAGUUGAAGUUUUAGCCGAAAUCUAAAAAAAAAAGAAAACAGAAAACAAGAGAAACCCCCUGGUCCUGUAGCAACUCAUGUGCGUGCCUUGUAGCGACUUGCCACGUGUGAGCAGCCUAUUGGCUGGGCGCGUGAGCUCCAUAGAACAGGGGAAAACGGCAGCGGUGGUCGGGCGUGGCGGCGGCGGCUCUCCGAUGGGUCUACGGCGAAGGUGAAGUGGCGGAUGGAUGCAGAUUCGAGCGGCGUAGGUGGUGGUGGUGUUGGACGGUGGCGAGGCGCACUGUACCGGCGGCGGUGUAGGCGUGAACGCAGUGUGUUGCGGAGGCAGCGGACGAGCUUGUUUUCCUCGGGAUGAUGCGAUUCCGGCCACAAAAACUUGUCAAACGAGUGCGUCGUUGAUAGGGGGUUCGUAGGGUGCAAGCAGCACGGCUCCGCGGGCUCUUACGGCAACGAAAACCUCCGACGACGGUGGCCGCGGGUCGAGCUCCGCGGCAAGAUCCAAACGGCGCGGGCGCGGGCGUGCGGCAGAAAUAGAGGCCAGGAAGUGGCUGCGGGGUCUCCCCUAGGGCCUUGCCUCGCGCACGAUGUCCCUGGUGGACACGGGAUGGACGAGGAGCGCGAGGUCGAUCCGGCUCGGCCUCGGCUGGGCGCGCUGUGCGCUCCAGUCUGGUUGGAGCUAGGAGAGAACAGACGUGGGACUCAUGGUCUGUGAGAGAGGGGAUAGCGGGUCGGGUGCGGUGUACCGCUUCGGCAGCUGGAGGCGCAGGAGACUGGGCCGCGAGCAGUGCGGGGUUUGGUGGGCCACGUGGCUGUAGUGCUGCGGCGCUGCGGUUUUCUUUUUUUUAAACACAAACCCCAGCAGCAAAAACAAAAGAAAAUAAAAUACACAAUAUAAAAUCUAAAUAAAAAUACCUAGACACAUAGUAAAAAUAGCCCUACAGCUAUAAAAUACAGCAACACUAGUUCCAACAAUAAUGCAAUUUUGAAAAAUUAUUUUAUGCAAUAGGCCACACAUAACAGCAACAAAACAAUCAAAUAAAAUAUUUUUAAGAUUGCAAAAAUUACCAGAACAUAUCAGAUGAAGUAGAAAUAAUAUUCUGCACAUUAUGAACAUUUUUAAACAGGGGAGAAGUCAUGUUAUCUCCACUCCAAUAAAUUGCCUUUUGUUGCAUAAUGAUUUGAAUAUUACAGAAAAGCAAAUAAUGCAAUAAAAAUAUGAUAUGCAUAUGAACGAUCUAUUAACAUCCUAAUUUAGGAAAAUUGGGAUGUUACAAACCUACCCCCCUAUGAAUCUCACUCUCGAGAUUCGGGCUGGCUAGCAAGUAGGUGUGGGUGAUCCUACCUGAGAUCUUUCGCUCGUUCCCAGGUAGCUUCCUCCUCUGUAUGAUGAUCCCACUGAACCUUGCAUAACUUAAUUGUCUUGGUGCGAGUAACUCCCUCUGCUGUUCCCAGGUAGCUUCUCCUCAUAUUUCAAAUCACUCUCCAACUGAAUUGCCUCAUGUGGCACUGUGUCCCUCAAUGGAACAUCCAUCAUCUCUACAUGGCACUUCUUCAACUGGGAUACAUGAAACACAUCGUGAACUCCUGACAAGGAUUCUGCCAACUCCAGCUGAUAAGCUACCUCUCCUCUACGCUCCAAGAUCUUGUAAGGCCCAACAGAAUGUGGUGCUAACUUACCCUUAAUUCCAAACCUCUUAAUUCCAUGGAGUGGUGAAACUCUAAGAUAUGCACAGUCUCAUACGUCAUAUGUCACCUCCUUACGUUUUGCAUCUGCAUAACUCUUCUACCUUGAUUGUGCUAUCUUCAAUCUAUCACGAAUCAACUUGACCUUCUCCUCAGCAUCUCUGAUCAAGUCUGGUCCAAAAAAUUGAUGCUCUCCAACCUCAUCCCACAUCAAUGGUGUCCUGCACUUUCUACCAAACAAUACCUCAAAUGGUGCCAUCUUCAGACUAGCUUGACAACUGUUAUUAUAUGAGAACUCUGCAUAAGGUAAAUUAUCAUCCCAACUAGACCCAUAGUCCAAAGCACAAGCUCUCAACAUAUCCUCUAAAAUCUGGUUUACCCUCUCUGUCUGUCCAUCUAUCUGUGGAUGGAAAGCUAUACUGAACUCCAGCCUGGUGCCCAAGGAUUCAUGGAACUGACGCCAAAUUUUAGAUGUGAACUGAGUACCUCUAUCAUACACCACCUUCCUUGGAACUCCAUGCAGACAAACGAUUUUAGACAUAUAAAUCUUUGCUAGCUGAGCACUGGUAUAAGUAGUCUUUACCGGGAUGAAGUGAGCAACUUUAGUCAAAUGAUCAACAACCACCCAAAUAGAAUCAUAACCUGACCGAGUACUGGGUAGACCUGUAAUGAAAUCCAUACCAAUCUCAUCCCACUUGCAUUCAGGUAUAGUCAAUGGUUGUAACAAACCUGCUGGUCGCUGAUGUUCUGCUUUAACUCUGUGGCACACAUCACAUGUUGCAAUAUAUCCAGCAAUUUCCCUCACAUGCACCUCCUAAAGAAUCAACUUCCUGAUAUCUGCAUCCUGAGGUACACAAAUACGCUUCUCAAACCAUAUGGCUCCAUGUUCAUCCUCAUGGAAACCUUCUACCUUACCUUUAACCAUAUUCUCUUUUAUCUCAACAAUCUCCUUAUCACCCUUUUGAGCUUCUCUGAUCCUACCAAGCAAAGUAGGCUUUACCUCCAUUGUUGCUAAAUAUCCCUUAGGAACCAUCUCCAACCUGAGCUUCUUGAACUGUUCACAUAACUUCGGUGGAAUAUCAUCAACAUUAAUUGCAUUAGCAUGGCUCCUACGACUCAACGCAUCAGCAACAACAUUGGCCUUACCAGGAUCAUACUGCACAUUCAAAUCGUAAUCCUUAAUAAGCUCCAACCAUCUCCUCUGCCUGAGGAUCAAAUCCUUCUGAGUAAAAAUAUACUUCAAGCUCUUAUGAUUAGUAAAUAUAUCACAAUGAUUACCAAUAAGAUAUGGCCUCCAAGUUUUCAAUUGAUGCACAACUGAGGCUAACUCCAAAUCAUGUAUAGGAUAAUUAAGCUCAUGAUUCUUAAGCUGAUGUGAAGCAUAUGAAACAACUUUACCUUCCUGCAUCAAAACACUCCCGAGUCCUUGACGAGAAGCAUCAAAAUAUACCUGGAAGUCCUUAUGUAUAUCCGGCAGAGUUAAGACUGGUGCUGUAACCAAACGCUGCUUCAACUCCUGAAAACUGGCUUCAUAUUCAUCAGUACAAACAAAUUUCUUCUCCUUCUUCAACAAUUCAUUCAUAGGCUUUGCAAUCUUGGAAAAGUUCUCAAUAAACCUCCUGUAAUAACCUGCAAGGCCCAAAAAGCUGCGAAUCUUCCCAACUGUCAUGGGUGUCUCCCACUCUGUAACUGCAGCAACCCUAGAUGGAUCAACUGCAACUCCAUUACAUAACACAACAUGUCCAAGGAAUGCUACCUCGUCCAGCCAAAAAUCACAUUUUCUGAACUUGGCAUACAACUGAUGUUCCCUCAACUUCGCCAAUACCAAACGCAGAUACACCUCACGCUCUUGCUAAUCUUGGAGAACACCAAUAUAUCAUCAAUGAAAACAACCACAAAUUUAUCCAAGAACUCCAUAAACACCUUGUUCAUCAUAUUCAUGAAGUAUGCAGGGGCGUUAGUCAAUCCAAAUGACAUAAUAGUAUAUUCAUACAACCCAUACCUCGUAGUAAAAGUAGUCUUGGGAAUAUCUUGCUCAAGAAUCUUCAAUUGAUGAUAACCAGAACGAAGAUCAAUCUUAGAAAACACAGUAGCUCCAUCCAACUGGUCAAACAGAUCAUUUAUCAUAGGCAAAGUAUACUUAUUCUUAAUGGUUACCUCAUUCAGAGAAUGAUAAUCAACACACAUCCUCAAGGUCCCAUCCUUCUUCUCCACAAACAAAACUGGAGCUCCCCAAGGUGAUGAACUUGGGCGAAUUAAUCCUCGUGCUUGCAAUUCUCUUAUCUGCUUCUUCAGUUCCUCCAACUCUUGAGGAGGCAUUCUAUACGGUCUCUUUGCAAUGGGUCUAGUGCCUGGUAUUAAAUCAAUAAGAAACUCAAUAUCUCUAUCUGGUCGCAUACCUAGCAACUCCUAUGGAAACACAUCUGGAUAAUCUCUCAGAACUGUCACCUCUUCCAGGCUACCCCCCUUAAGAGAGUUCACCUGCACCUGAUUAUGUUUAUACUUACAUACAUAUUUGAUCCUCUUCCCUCUUGGUGCACUGAGAGUCAUAGAUCGACUGGCACAAUCAAUAUGACCUUUAUAUAAUUGCAACCAAUCCAUACCCAAAAUAAUAUUCAGAGCUUGUGACUUCAAUAUAAUCAAAUCUGUAGGAAACUCAUGCUUCCCAAUAGACAAAGUCAACUGAUGACAACCAACACCUGCUAUCAUCUCAGCUCCUGGGAACUUACUCUAAUAGGCAUACUAAGUGUUUUGGUUGGCAAUCCAUGUUUAUCAACAAAUACCCUCGAAACAAAUGAUAUGAAGUGCGUGGCUUCUGAUGUGGUCCUGAUUUAUACCUGUUAUUAUUGUUGUACUUCCUCUUGCCAUUCUCUAUGGCCUGUUGCUUUCCCUCCAGCACAAUAGCCUUAUCAAUCAGGUCCCGACAAUUCCUAAAAGUGGCCACUGUCAACUGAAGGCUCAAGUCAUCAUUUAGGCCCUCCAAGAAUUUCUCCUGCCUAGCUGCAUCAGUGUUAACAUCAUUAGGAGCAUAACAUGCAAGAUUAUUAAAUUCCUCCACAAAGCAUUAACUGUGCGACCUCCCUGGCGCAAACUGCUAAACUCCUUUUUUAGACUCAUAGCACCAGCGGACACAUGUGCAACACGGAAAGCAUCCUGAAACUGAGGCCAUGUGAUAGUAGCAGUGGGAUAAGUGACCAAGUAAUUGCCUCACCAAGCUGCGGCAGGACCCUCCAACAAAUGUGAGGCAAACCUCACUCUCUCUGCAUCUGUGCAUCCAACCGUCUCCAGGUUCCUAUUCAUUGCACGGAGCCAAUCAUCAGCUACAAUAGGUUCAGGGGAACUGGAGAACCUCUGAGGAUUCAACCUCAAGAACCUGGUAAGCAUAUCCACAGGUGGCGGUGGCGGCGGAUUGUUGUUGUUAUUGUUCUGGUUCUAGACAAGCAACUCGAUCAACUGAGCCUGUCUCUGAAGCAGCUGCUGCAUGUAUGGCGGUACAUCAUUGCCAUUGUUGUCUCCCCCUGUAGCAGUGCGUCUAGUGUCAUUCCUUGGCGACAUCUGGUGGGAAACCAUAGAUGAGUUAUAGAUAUAAUAGGGCCAAAAGCUAUGUAUAUAUAAAUAUAUUCUACCCAUAUGCAUAAUAUGAUCAAGGUAAUAAAACACAACGACGAAUAACACCAACAAACAAACAACAAACAACAAACAAUAUAAUAAUAUUAUAUAUAUAUAGAUGAAUAAUUUCGAAACAAAGCAAUUUAACAAACAACUACCAAUCAAGCAAACAAUCUAGUAUCUUCAUACCACGAAAGUGGACAUAAUCAGAUACGCUAACACGAUAAUGUUGCAAUAUAAAACAAACAUGAACGGUGGUGCCGGCACUAGUUCCUACUUAACUAUUCAAGAUACUUGAGGGGGUUAACUAAUUAAAUAGUAAGAAGUAUAGCUAGUUUAUAAAAUAAUUUUCACUCCUAUGGCUUUUCUAAUCCAUUUGCUAGGGUCACACCCUACAGUCAACACACUGCUCUGAUACCAUCUGUAACGACCAAACCUCAAAGGAUUUGAGUCUCUAUGCUUACCGUUCUAGUCCAUAGAGCGAACUUGCUAGCACACACAAUAUAGAUGAAUACCAGAAUAGCAAGUGCAUCAUUUAUUACAACGUAUGAUCCAGAAUAUAUAAAAUAAAACAAUAUGCAUAGCAUUUGGCUAGCUAUAUUCAAUCAAACAGCGGAAAGUAGCAGAAAAUAACGAUGAGUCCCAUCAUAGCCCACUAGCGAUGCUGAGUGCAAACUCGCGACCCUAACGGUACCUUACUCUUCGUCUGAAUAUCCUACAACAUGAGACGUUGCAGCCAUAUAGGUGAAUACUUUGAAUGUAUUGGCAAGUUACACACGAGUAAUAAUAAAGUAGACCUACAUGUAUGUACAUAAUAUAUCAAAAGGAAGGCUUGAGGGUUCAUUUUUGCAGAAAGCUGAUUUUGUCCUCAUAACUACCUAAUAGGCAUAUUUUAAUUUAGUUCUUCUAUUACUACAAUUAUAUACACAAGGUUGAGUUGGCAAAAUCAACUCCAACCUACCCUUUAUUAAGUUGCCCAUCUGUCAAGAUCAUCCAACAAUCGUAAUGGCAUAGUGGCUCAAAUUUGCCCAUAACCCGGGGCAUGACUAAUCAUGAUUAGUUUUAAUACUCUAUAGAGUUUAAUACUCUACAGAGUUUAAUACUCUUUACCCACUGGACCUAAUCCGAAGAUUGAGACAAAGUCUUUCAGAAGAGGUUCCCUUAACCACCUGGCGGCCACAUUCCACCUACAUAUGCUACAUCUGUCAACACUGUCUGGGCAAGGGUCCCAACAACUGAUCAACUAAGCCAGAGCCCAUAUAGCUAGUGGCCGCACAUGGAAGAUACUAGUCACUAAGUCUGUCUGAUCUUUUUGAACCUGGGCGGGUUUCAACUUAGGGUGCACUCUCAUGAGCGCAUUGCCUUAGAAAAGGCUCAAGACCCCAUGAUGCCUUCCCUCAACACCAAGCAAUACCACUUCCGCCCAGAGGUGAGUUAAAUCCUGAGUUACUACUCAAUUUGUUAAAUAUAUAAUCCUCACAUAAGCUCAAUGAAUACUCGAACCACCCCCGUCUACAAAGCAUAGCAAAACUACAACUACCACGAUCUGCAAUGACGGGAGAUAGCUCAACAAUAUAGCAGAAUAAUAUAAGAAUCUUAUACAUGCAUAUAUUCAUAGUGUGAUAUAACUACAUGCAUAGAAAACAAUAGGUAAAGGAUUAUCAAUAUGUAACUUGCCUUGGUUCUGGUUCAGAAAGUCACACUCCUGACAAUAAUUUGCGUAACACUCCAGACAAUCUACACGUUGCACAAUAUAACAAAUCAAUCACCGAAACUCAAAUAAAGACAAAAUAAAGCCAACAACAACAAAAUCAUUUUAAAACUCAAAAAUAGCAGCAACAACAUGCACAGAUCACCAACAUAGCACUACGAUCACAAGGCAAAAAGAAUCACUCGAUUCCGAUACACGGUUUAAAAGAUACGGCCUCCGAAAGAUUUGAUUCGAAUUCAAAUGAAUUCAAAUUUGAAUUGUGCAAACAUGUGCAAAAUUGGUACUGAGCUAAAGUGCUGAUUUUUGUGAGUGCAUAGGAAAAAGAAUCACCUAAAUUGGAUAUAUAUGCUAAAAGAUAUAGCUAGUUGAAGUUUUAGCUGA
rnacentral:lncRNA from 1 species